UACGUAGGGGGCAAGCGUUGUCCGGAUUUAUUGGGCGUAAAGAGCGUGUAGGCGGCCAGACAGGUCCGUUGUGAAAACUCGAGGCUCAACCUCGAGACGCCGAUGGAAACCGUCUGGCUAGAGUCCGGAAGAGGAGAGUGGAAUUCCCGGUGUAGCGGUGAAAUGCGCAGAUAUCAGGAAGAACACCCGUGGCGAAGGCGGCUCUCUGGGACGGUACUGACGCUGAGACGCGAAAGCGUGGGGAGCGAACAGG
rnacentral:rRNA from 1 species